UACGUAGGGUGCGAGCGUUAAUCGGAAUUACUGGGCGUAAAGGGUGCGCAGGCGGUUCUGCAAGUCAGGCGGGAAAGCCCCGGGCUUAACCUGGGAAUGGCGCUUGAAACUACAGGACUGGAGUAUGGCAGAGGGAGGUGGAAUUCCACGUGUAGCGGUGAAAUGCGUAGAGAUGUGGAGGACCCCCGAUUGCGAAGGCCGCCUCCUGGGCCAAUACUGACGCUCAUGCACGAAAGCGUGGGGAGCAAACAGG
rnacentral:rRNA from 1 species